AUGUGCACUGCAAGUGAACAGAUGAAUGGUGUUUUAUGUAAAACCACCUCUACCACUUUUGUGUCUGUUCGAUGGAUUUCUGGUCAUAAGCUAAGGAAACAAGUAACUUGAGGUCUGGAUAUCAUUCUUGAAGACCAGAAGAAUGUUCAACCUGACAGCAGUGGAAUUAGCCAUGACAGUCACUUCACAUGCCUUUGUUAGGCACUACCAGGUCUACCUUGAAUUAGUCUAGAAUCAGUUAGAGGGAGUGGUGGUUAACAGGAAUGUAUAGUUCAUUAAAAUGUUAUGAAUAA